AAUGAACGCUGGCGGCGCGCCUAAUACAUGCAAGUCGAGCGAGAAGACGUAGCAAUACGUUUGUAAAGCGGCGAACGGGUGAGGAAUACAUGGGUAACCUACCCUAGAGUGGGGAAUAACUAGCCGAAAGGUUAGCUAAUACCGCGUACGCUCCUUGGACUUCGGUUCAGGGAGGAAAGCGAUGCCGAGGGUAUCGCGCUCUUGGAUGGGCUCAUGUCCUAUCAGCUUGNGGUGAGGUAACGGCUCACCAAGGCUUCGACGGGUAGCUGGUCUGAGAGGACGAUCAGCCACACUGGCACUGCGACACGGGCCAGACUCCUACGGGAGGCAGCAGUAAGGAAUAUUGCGCAAUGGGCGAAAGCCUGACGCAGCGACGCCGCGUGGGGGAUGAAGGUCUUCGGAUUGUAAACCCCUUUCGGGAGGGAAGAUGGAAUGGGGUAACCCAUUCGGACGGUACCUCCAGAAGCAGCCACGGCUAACUUCGUGCCAGCAGCCGCUGU
rnacentral:rRNA from 1 species